rnacentral:rRNA from 1 species
ACUCCUACGGGAGGCAGCAGUGGGGAAUAUUGCACAAUGGGGGAAACCCUGAUGCAGCCAUGCCGCGUGUGUGAAGAAGGCCUUCGGGUUGUAAAGCACUUUCAGUAGGGAGGAAGGUAGUGUAGUUAACACCUGCAUUAUUUGACGUUACCUACAGAAGAAGCACCGGCUAACUCCGUGCCAGCACGCCGCGGUAAUACGGAGGGUGCGAGCGUUAAUCGGAAUUACUGGGCGUAAAGCGCAUGCAGGCGGCCUGUUAAGUCAGAUGUGAAAGCCCGGGGCUUAACCUCGGAAUUGCAUUUGAAACUGGCAGGCUAGAGUCUUGUAGAGGGGUAGAAUUUCAGGUGUAGCGGUGAAAUGCGUAGAGAUCUGAAGGAAUACCAGUGGCGAAGGCGGCCCCCUGGACAAAGCUGACGCUCAGAUGCGAAAGCGUGGGAGCAAACAGGAUUAGAUACCCCGUGGUAGCGACU